rnacentral:rRNA from 1 species
GUGAACGCUGGCGGUAGGCCUAACCCAUGCAAGUCGAACGGCAGCACAGUAAGAGCUUGCUCUUACGGGUGGCGAGUGGCGGACGGGUGAGGAAUACAUCGGAAUCUACUUUUUCGUGGGGGAUAACGUAGGGAAACUUACGCUAAUACCGCAUACGACCUACGGGUGAAAGCAGGGGAUCUUCGGACCUUGCGCGAUUGAAUGAGCCGAUGUCGGAUUAGCUAGUUGGCGGGGUAAAGGCCCACCAAGGCGACGAUCCGUAGCUGGUCUGAGAGGAUGAUCAGCCACACUGGAACUGAGACACGGUCCAGACUCCUACGGGAGGCAGCAGUGGGGAAUAUUGGACAAUGGGCGCAAGCCUGAUCCAGCCAUACCGCGUGGGUGAAGAAGGCCUUCGGGUUGUAAAGCCCUUUUGUUGGGAAAGAGAAGCAGCAGGUUAAUACCCCGCUGUUCUGACGGUACCCAAAGAAUAAGCACCGGCUAACUUCGUG